rnacentral:rRNA from 1 species
GACAGAGGGGGCAAGCGUUGUCCGGAAUCAUUGGGCGUAAAGGGUGCGUAGGCGGCGCGGUAAGUCGGGUGUGAAAUCUCGGAGCUUAACUCCGAAACUGCAUUCGAUACUGCCGUGCUUGAGGACUGGAGAGGAGACUGGAAUUUACGGUGUAGCGGUGAAAUGCGUAGAUAUCGUAAGGAAGACCAGUGGCGAAGGCGGGUCUCUGGACAGUUCCUGACGCUGAGGCACGAAGGUCAGGGGAGCAAACGGG